ensembl:lncRNA novel transcript
GCAGCCUCAGCAUACGAUUCUUUCCUUUGCUUAUUGAGAACUGACACCUUUUCACUUUAUGGCUUCUUCUUGGCAGAACCAAAUGGCCAGUCUCUUGCGGCCAUUACUGAGUGAACCAGGAGUGACUUGAACAAUGGGAGACUUGAACUGGGAGACUCUGACAGUUGAUCUGAUAACCAAGGUGACUACAAAGUGACUCACGGGCAGGGAACGUGCACAGUGUGGAUCCGCUGGACAAAGGGAGGACUCAUCUCUGGGGAAGGAGAUGAGGGACAGUGAGAGUCCUCAUCACACUACUCAGAACAGUGUGCAAUUUAAAACUUGUGGAUUGCUGAUUUCUGGAAUUUUCCAUUUAAUAUUUUGUGGCCUCAGUUAACAGGAACACUGGAAAUUGAAUCUGUGGUGGGGGGACUACUGUAGUUGUUAACCACACCUUCACACACCUCUGACCACACUCAGUGUCUUAGUCAAUUCAAGCUGCCACGAUGAAGUACUGCAGAUGGGUGGCUUCAACAAGGUGAAUUUAUUUCUCACAGUUCUGGAGCCUGGAAGCCCAAGAUCCAGAUGUUGGCAUGGUCUGGUGAGAACCUGGUGAGAAUCAGGUGGUCCGUUUCUCCUGCCUGGGAUUGCACAUGGCGGCCUUCCUGCUGUGUCCUCACCUGGCCUUUCCUCAGGAAGGCGGAGAGAGAGAGACAAGCUCCGGACUCUUCCUCUUUGAUAAGGACCCUAAUCACAUCGUGGGGACCCACCUGCACGACCUCAUCUAAACCUAGUUCCCUCCCAAAGGCCCGCCUCCAAACACCAUCCCACUGCGAGUAGGGCUUGAGCUUUGGAAUUUAGGAAGACCCAGUUCAGUCCACAGCCCUUAGCUGCAGGGAAGGUGGGAUGCCAUGUGUUCAGCUACGCUAUGGAACCUGAGUAUUAAGGAAGAAGGAAGAACGAGGCUCCACAGGUGGCCCCUGGGAGCUGUAAUCCUGCUCGGUGACUAGGAAGAGUGGCUGAAAGGCCCCACCUCUGACUCCUCCCUGCUUCUGAUAGCCUGAGUCCUGGGGGACAGAGGGAAGCGCCUCUGGGUUCCCCUCUCCGUGUGAGGCAGACAGCCUCCGCCCAGGCUCUGAGGGGCCCUAAUUCUUCCUAACAGACAGCAGUUUGGAGCUUCUCCCAGAGUGACCCAGGAGCCAGCCCAGGAGUGGUC